rnacentral:rRNA from 1 species
AGGGAAUCUUCCGCAAUGGACGAAAGUCUGACGGAGCAACGCCGCGUGAGUGAUGAAGGCUUUCGGGUCGUAAAACUCUGUUGUUAGGGAAGAACAAGUGCUAGUUGAAUAAGCUGGCACCUUGACGGUACCUAACCAGAAAGCCACGGCUAACUACGUG